CACAUGGAGAAAUAAAUUCUUUGAUGUAUUAAGUGGUGCAAAAGAGGCUUCACAUAGAAGGACAUUUUCUUUUCUAUGCCCUAUAAUUUUUUUAUUUAUUUUAGGUGUGUGACAAUAAAGAAAAUGGAGGAAAUUUAAGAAGUGGUUAAGAGUCUUGAAGAAGAAAGACUCUUCCUCUUCUCAAUGCUAAAAAGAGAGUGGUAGCAUUAAAUUUAUGGUGAGAAACUAGAGUGGCAUGGAGGU
rnacentral:lncRNA from 1 species